GAGGGCAUAGCUCAGUGGUAGAGUGCAUGCCUAGCAUGCACAAGGUCCUGGGUUCAACCCCCAGUACCUGCA
rnacentral:tRNA from 1 species